AUACUUACCUGGACGGGGUCGACGGGCGAUCAGGAAGGUCCGUGGUCUAGAUCAAUGGCUCACAUUGCACUUGGUGAGCGCGAUGAUUGCACUUGGUGAGCGCGAUGGUUUACCAUCUCCCCAGGUGGGAGAGUGGACGUCAUAAUUUGUGGCAAAGGGGGUACGCGUUCGCGCGGCCCCUG
rnacentral:snRNA from 1 species